rnacentral:lncRNA from 1 species
GUUGAUUGGAUGACUAGUCUGAUAGACCAUCGAAGCACUAAAUCGAUUUGAGAUCAUCUAGCUGAGGUUAACAUGAAUCCUUAAAAGAGAAAAAGAUAGCCCGAUACAAGAUUUAUAAGUCUUUCUUAGAGAGAGAAAGGAGGAGAGAGAAAUUUUGGAGAGAGCAGGAGAGAGAGAAAUUCUAAAGAGAGGGAAAGAGAGAGAAGAGGGGGAGA